rnacentral:tRNA from 1 species
UCCUCGGUAGCUCAGAGGCAGAGCAAGUGGCUGUUAACCACUGGGUCGCUGGUUCGACUCCAGCCCGGGGAG